rnacentral:lncRNA from 10 species
GAUGAACUGGCAUUCCUGCUGGCUCUGGCCUCUGGGACAGCACCUCCUCCAGCUCACUGCCCUCCACCCUUCCAGCUACAGCUCCCUCCGGUGCCCCAGAACCGCCCGGCACUCCGGGGCUCCCAGGUUCAUCUGGGCAUGACUCCGCCCUCCCGACAGAGCCCUCUGCACACCCCCUCCCCACCCUGGCCCAUCGCAGCUCUUCACGAAGACGCUUCAUGGAAUGGGUGAUUUUCCUAAGCACUUUUCUUUCCAUGAUCUCAUUUGGUCCUCACAGCACCUGGAGGAGGGCAGACAGGCUGUUGCUCCAUUUUACAGAUUUUCCAGACCAGGCUUUCUGAGAGGCUGUUAAUGAGCCAAACCAUUCUGCUAACCGUCGUUUUCAGAAGGGCCACCCGGCUCACGGUUCUCUUUAUUCAGGCAAAGCCAUCAAGACCCCGGUG